GGCGGACGCGGCCAAG
rnacentral:tRNA from 2 species